CCAGACUGCUGACCAGGUGGACCUGUGUGGGGUCUCUGAAGGGUGGCGUGACUCAGGCCCAUCUCCUUCCCGGUGGUUGGCGGAAGAGGGAGAUGAUGGCGAGAGGAGGCGUGCAGAAGCUGGGUCUUCACCGCCCACUGCCGGGCUGUCUUGGCUGGAGCUGCUCCCGACAGACGGGAUGCGUGUCGUCAGGGGCGGGGGCCUGGCGUGUGCGCGUGUGCAUGUGCCAGAGUAUGUGUGUGCGUUUAAAAUACGGAAAAAGGAAGCGUGGCUGCACUCAGCUGCAAGAGGCUGGCCGGCUCCGGCCGAGCUGGUGCGGUGGGGACGGGAGGAGGGUGAGGUGAGGGACCGCCGAGGAGGGGAGGAUGGACACUUGCCACGAAGAGCGGCAGGGCCGGGGCCUCUUGGGUGCCAGCGGGCGCGCGGGGCCGAUACUCACAAACAAAACCCGCGGCAAAUUGCUGGCAGCCCGUCCUGAAGGCGGCAGCCGCUUGGCAGAGGAGCCACGGAGGACCGGCUGGGAGCAGGCGGCCAGCGCAGCACAGGACAGAACGAGACUCUGAGUGCGACCAGCACGGCCGGCACGGCUGGUGUCUUCAGGUGACCCUGCCCCGCGCUGUGGUCACUUCCCACUCAGGUGGACGGCUGCACAUCCGCUCAGAAGGGCAAAAUGCACCAGAGCCAUGCGAGCAGCUCCGGCUCCCCAGGGGCGACUAACGCAGGGAGUGACAUCUCACAGAAGCCAGCUCUUCACACAGCAGCAGCCCGAGGACACCGACCUCCCAGCCUGGGGACACUGACCUCCCACCCUGAGGACACCGACCUCCCACCCCAAGGACACCGACCUCCCAGCCCGGGGACACCGACCUCCCAGCCCGGGGCCCAGUGUGCGCUGCAGGCCAGUCGGCCCACCCACACGGUGAGCAGGAUUAGAGGGGCCCUGCCACACACCUGGUGGCAACCAGCUGCCUUAGGCUGUUCCUCACCACGGGUGCAGACACCACCCAAACCACGCAGGACCACGCAGGACUUCAUCGUCUUUAGAAUUGGGACUGGCUUGUGAACCACAAGACCUGGGAGACCCGAGCGAAGGGCUGGCCCCAGAGACGGAAACCAGCAUCCACAGGGAGAGUUCAGGCCAGGCUGGCCAUGUUGUCCCUGACGAGAGGCCUGGCCGCUUCCUGAGUCAGGGCAAACGUCAUUAACCGAUCGCAGAGCCUCUCCCACCACCCAUGGGAAUUCCAGGGAGUCGCUGCCCACCAGCUGUUGGCCACCUGGACUGGAUGAGCUCCUGGAUGACCCUCAGGGUGAGUCUCUGCCCCAUGUCAGGGAUCAGGGAGCCCACAUGGCUGCCAGCACAGAAGGGAAACUUCCUGCUCCCACCAAGCUCCCUCACAGCGGCCAGAUGCACCUGCAGGGGUGAGAGGUCUGCCCGGCACUCUGCCUCGGGGUGGGGGGGCUCCCCAGCCACACGCCCCCUCCAUCCCCGCUGAGCUGCGCACUGUGACCAAGAGCUCAGGCUUCAGGGCCACAGAUGAGAUGCCUCCAUAGGGCACACUGCACACGCUCGGGACAGCUCAAUUCGCCCACACGGGAAGGUUGUGGUGCCAGGAGCUGCAGUGCAAGGGCCACAGUGAUGCACACUGGGUGUGCACUGCCCAGCGCAGGGGGCCCGAGGACACAGGACAUGGCUGCGGGCAGGGAGGCGGGUGGUGGGUGUGCACCAAUGGGCCGGAAGCCGCGGCGCCUGGGAGCUGCAGUUGCAGUAAGUGGGGAGAGCUGGCCACACAUGGUGUGGUCCCGACAAGUUCUCAGUCUCCUAGUUGAACAGGCCGCAGGGUUGGCCCCUCAAGAUGGGCCCCCAUGGGCCAAGCUCCCCGCUCUGGGGUGGGAGACAUGGGCACUUUGGGGCGUGGGAACCGCCUGAGCAGCAGGCCUGUCUGCCCCCAGUCCCUCUGGGUCACCCUGAGGGGUACCCUGGCGGGGGGCACAACCAGGAACCCAGCAGCUACAGAGAAACCAGCCACCCUUCCAACUAGGGGCCUGGAGAACUCAGGAGGGUCUGGGACUCAGCACUGUGUCUGGCAGAACCAGAAGGAAGGUGCCCCAAGGCUGACCCCCAUCUCUCCCGGGCCCGUGACCACUGCCCCCUCCUCCAGCCUCCAGGAAAAGGUGACGAUGGGUUUCUGGUUGUGCCCCCGCCAGGGUACCCUCAGGGUGACCCAGAGGGGUGAGCUGGUGGAGAGCUCGCCAUGGACCCCAGGCCAGCAGCUCACAGGGCUUCUAGCAGUGGUCCUGGCGAGCCUCACCUGCUCCCAAGGCACAUGUUCGGAAUGCAGACUCCCAAGCCCUGUGAAGCCACCCCAUCCUCCAGGGUCCCCCUGCCUGAUUGGUGGGGUUCUCCCAGUGUCAUUGGCCAGCCAGGGCCUGAGAGCCUCACCUGGGGGUGGCGGCCUCCCACUCCUGCACCUCCCUCUUCAGGGAACCUGAGAUGAAACAGCUCUGGACUGGGAGGCGGGGCAGAGGUGAGGGGCCGUCACCGAGGGGAGCACAGACUCCCAUGUGUGGGGGGGUACAGACCGAGCGGCAGGGCAGGAGGGGCUACAGCCAGGCAGCCAGUGGCCCCGAGGGACUGUGCCCAGUCAGCCGGACACCCGGGGACAGCAGGAACAGCCUGCUCAGCCCUGCUGUGCCCACGCGUCCACGUGCGCCAUGAUGGCACCUUUGUUUGCGUCUGCGGGUGUUGCGGGCUGGUCGGGAAAUGCUCUGUCUGCCUCCUGCAGCUGCUGUCAGUGCACACCCGGGAGCCAGCUUCACUCUCACUGUCAUUAAAAAUCCCAAGUCUGACAGGUAGGGAAAAUCCAACAUAAAAACAACCGCCUAGGGACCAACCACAGCUCGAGCAGAAGCCCGGCUCCUGGCGCAGCGGCCAGCCCCCUCUGGAAGCCGGGCUUCUGCCCUCCCCUGCUCUUCUGUGCAAGUGUUGACCUGUCAUCCCCACCUUAGGGCUGGACAACAGGGGACAGCAAGGCAGAGGGAGGGAUGGAGGAGGAAAGCACAUGAAUGGGGGCAGAGACCAGCCCCAGGCCACACUUGCAGGCCUUGCGGGAUGUUGGACAUCAUGGUGGGCAGCCUGACAUACCCCAUUGACAAACAAGGUGCCCCAUGCCACCGGCACCCAGCUGGAGCUCGACACUCGCCUCUGACCUCCACCAGACCUCCUGGUAGAGGCCUGUGCUGGAGACCAGGCCUGCUGCCCUUCUGGGUGCGAGAGAGGCACCCAUGGCGGGGGGGGGGGUCCCCAGGGCUUGGGAAGUAGCCAAUGUGUCUUUCUGUGGUCCCAAGAGGCGGCCCUGGUGCCCUAACCAGGUGAAAUGGCCGCAAUGGCAUUCAAGCAGGCCCCAAGGAUGGACACUAACCCUGUUUCUCGAGAUUCUUUCAUCAUUUGGACAAGCUGCUCGACCCUUUUGAACCCCGGGGGCCACAACUGUAAAUGGCCAGGAGGCGGGUGUGUGUGUCUGGCCUGGGCACAGGUAAGGGUCUACGUGGGGGGCCUGGCCCUCGCCCUGUCUGACCAGGCCCUGGGCUGUGGUAAUGUGCCAGCUCUUAGGGUCUCGGCUCACAGGGUCAGAGUGCAUGCUGGACACCAGUCCCGGUCAGAGAUCUGGGGUGGCCAGGAUCGCCCACCAUGCUGGGGUCCCCCUGCAGUCGGGCCUCGGGGAUCCUCUGCUGCACUCAGCCUGGUUUCGGGGCCUCUUGGAGCUGGGGUGACACUAGCCCCUGCCCCAGAGGGUCUGGCGCCUGGCUGAGCCCACAUGGGCUCAGAGCUGGGGUGUCUCCCCAGGGUGCUGGCACUCAUGCGGCUCCUGGGCGCCAGUGCUCACGUGGCUGUUACAUCGAAAAAGUUCUCGGAGGGCUCAGGAGGGACGCAUGGCUCCCUGUGUGGCCGGCUCCCUCCCAUCUGGGGACCUGGGGACGGGAGGCCUCGGAAAGGCUGGGAGCACCCAGCCUUGAGCUGAGGAGCCCGGCGAGCGGAGGGUUAAGUGCUGCUUCUAUUUCUUCUGCUUGGGGUGCAUAAUGCGCUCAUUUGCAUACUGCAGUGUGCGCUCAAUUAAAAUGAACUUUUAAUUUCUUCUAAGUAAAUUACUUCUUGCCGGUACGUGACGCGCACAAAUGUCAGAAUAAUGGG
ensembl:lncRNA